UACGUAGGUGGCAAGCGUUUGUCCGGAAUUAUUGGGCGUAAAGCGCGCGCAGGCGGCCUUUUAAGUCUGAUGUGAAAGCCCACGGCUCAACCGUGGAAGGUCAUUGGAAACUGAAAGGCUUGAGUACAGAAGAGGAAAGCGGAAUUCCACGUGUAGCGGUGAAAUGCGUAGAGAUGUGGAGGAACACCAGUGGCGAAGGCGGCUUUCUGGUCUGUAACUGACGCUGAGGCGCGAAAGCGUGGGGAGCAAACAGG
rnacentral:rRNA from 1 species